rnacentral:lncRNA from 1 species
UGCAGCCCUCACCAAGGGCAAACCCUGCCAGCAGCAUCCACCCUGCUCCGGGGGGAGGGCAAACAAAACAAUUAAACUGGACCUAAGGCAACUAAAUGAGCAGGAAAAGGUGAGGGAGAAGCAGGCUGGGGCUCGGAGGAGAUGGAGCAAGCGGCACUGCUCACCUCUGGAAGGUCCUGGCUUGCAGUGCCACCAGUCAGGCUCCGUCCACGCAGGUCCCCAACCAUUGUGACACAGACACCAACUGUCCUGCCACCAUUCCAUGGGGACAGUGUCCCACUCCUCCAAAGCAGGGAAGCACAGGAAGCAGGGAAGAAACCUGAGAAAUGAGGGUGCUGGCAUCAGUGGCUGCGAGCAAACAGCGAUGCAUCCCCUGCCCCAGCAGGCUGCUGGGGGGAUUAAUUAGUAUUUGUAAAGCACUUUGAAGAUAAAUUAGACUGUGGGAGAGCUCCUGGCUUGCAGAGAGGGGGAGAUGGGGCUCAGGGAGCCCAGAUGGCAGAACAGGGCCAGAUGGACAGGGUCCUAAUUCCCGUCAAGAAUCAUUACCUGCCGCAUGAUGAGGCACCUCCAAAGAUGUGCUGUGAGCCCUGGAAAACGUGGCAGCACCAGGAGAAUCAUGCUGGAAUGGCGCUUUCCCAGCUGCAGGGCCCUGUCCCAGAUGUGUGAUGGGAAUAUCUCCCAUUAAAGACGAGAGAUGCUCAUUGUUGCGUGUCACCCCUAAUUUGGGGAGGCAGAGCAGGUGCUGGGAGAGGGGGCACUGCACCCUCACACAGCACAGAAAGUCUUUUCCAUAUGCUGCCUGAUCAGUUAUAUCAGUUUCUUAAAAUGCUAUUGCACAGAUAUUUCAGAGGCAUCCUGUAGGACCAUCUGGUAUGUUAUAUAUUGCACAGAGCCCGGCCAAUUCUCAGAUCCUGUAAUUUUAUCUCCUCCAUUUCAUAUGCGGCGCAGGCAUUUUGCAAGGCGACGGGGAAUGGGAAUUUGUGGAGUGACGGCGCGCACACAAACCAAAAGCUUUUCCAGGCAGCACCGUGGUCCCCACAUUCCCCAUGGAAGUGAUGAGCUGCACUCCAGCACGUCUCCCCUGCGAACCCAACGUCCUGCUGGAAGGGCUGCUGCAGCGCCGUGCUGGGACUAUCCCUGCCAUCAUUCCUUUUCCCAGGGGGAAUGUGUUUGCCCACCUAUGGAAGUGUCCAAGGCCAGGAUGGAUGGGAUAGAGCAACAUGGGCUGGUGGAAGGUGUGCCUGACCAUGGCAGGGGGUUGGAAUGAGAUGAGAUUUAAGGUCCCUCCCUGUGGGAAUCCAGGGCUUCCCUCUGGCUGCCCUGGCAGGUCUGGGACCCUGGCAGGGGUCAGGAACCCCCCUGGACAGAGCCCCCAGAGACACUGGCUGUGAUCUCUGUCCAUGGAGAGGAGUUUUCAAUCUUACAGGAUGAAUUACAAGCUUUGAGUGUUUGAUAAGAGUAAUAAUUAAGUGUGACACGGGUGCAAAAGUAAAAUUUUAAGUUUCUAGAUGAGAGGUUCAGAGGGGACAAGAUGGAGGAAAUUGGGUGUGCCUUGUCCUUUUCCUCCUUCUUCAUGCCCUCCAUGUUUCACUGUGGUGUUGGCAUUUUUCUGUUGGUUCAGGCUGGGGACACACUGUCCAACGUAGGUGACAGAUAUUGGCACGUUAUUGUAAAUCCAGCACAGGUAGUUUGUGGUAUUUAAUGUUUGUACCAUCCCACUGAGGGCAGAGCCCCACACGCUGCCCUGCAGGACAGAGCUGCGGCAGGGCAGCAGAACAUGUUAGAGAUAAACAGAAUAAACAACCUUGAAACAGCACAGACCAAUUAUGGCUUCUGCUUUGGCAACGGGGCUGACAGACAGAGACUUUCUACAAUCUCAGAAUCACCAAUACCCACAGAUUCCGACACCUCCCAACACAAACCAUUCGGUGAGGCCGUGAAUUUUCGUGUGCCUUGGCCCAUCCACGAGCCCAUCAGCAAAAUCC